rnacentral:rRNA from 1 species
AAACGACUCUCGGCAACGGAUAUCUCGGCUCACGCAUCGAUGAAGAACGUAGCAAAAUGCGAUACUUGGUGUGAAUUGCAGAAUCCCGUGAACCAUCGAGUUUUUGAACGCAAGUUGCGCCCGAAGCCAUUCGGUUGAGGGCACGCCUGCCUGGGCGUCACGCA